AAUUUCUAGCCUUCAGGUUUUUUCCGGCAAUUUCCAACCGAAAAUAUAUGAAUUGAAGGAAUAAUAUUCAAAACGCUUCAUUUUGCAAAUACAGAACGCUUCGCAUCCCUAACUGACUCUUCUGCCAACGCUUGUUUUCAGUUUUCAUCAAACAAGCCUCAUCUAAACUUUCGACUACGUUUUCAAUUUUCCUUCUUCCUGUGCCGCUUCUUUCUAUCAAACAAACCUUCUUCACAUGUUCAAUUCCGUUUCCUCUAUUCAAGUUGCCACAGACCUCUUAAUUAGUGAAUUAAUUCCUAUCAACUCAACUACAUCUCCCUUCUUUGCCUAUUUUUUAUCUGGGAACUCUUCUAUCUAUGUAUUACACAACUUUUGUUUCCUUCAACGCCAAUAAAGACAUCUGAAGAACACCGUCUCCCCCACACUAUGCCAGCAAAAAAGGAUAUUUACUCUAUAAUUCAAGGUUUGGUCAAACAAGGAUGUGAAAACACCGUCAAAAGAUUGAGAAAAGCUUUUAUCGCGACAGGCUGUCGGUUACUUUGAAUUGCUUACUGUGAAAAUUGUGCACUUUAUAUCUUGAGUAUUCAUAUUAUAAUUCAUAAUCAAUUCCAGAAUCAAGUAAAAGUUUACCUCUAGAACUGUUUUUUGAUUAGAUACCUACAGAAAUGUUUGAUUCAUAGCAACUGCAAUUUCCUAACUAUUAAUGGGAAUGAGAUUGUUUCCUCUUA